rnacentral:rRNA from 1 species
CGGACGGGUGAGUAAUGCAUAGGAAUCUACCCAGUAGUGGGGGACAACUCGGAGAAAUUCGAGCUAAUACCGCAUGUGUCCUACGGGACAAAGCAGGGGACCUUCGGGCCUUGCGCUAUUGGAUGAGCCUAUGUCGGAUUAGCUAGUUGGUAAGGUAAAGGCCUACCAAGGCGACGAUCCGUAGCUGGUCUGAGAGGAUGACCAGCCACACUGGAACUGAGACACGGUCCAG